rnacentral:lncRNA from 1 species
AGCAACUUGCUGGGGUUCUCUUCCAGGCAGUGGGAGGUUUGUUCUUUUGCUGUUUGCAAUGGCUGUUGCUGCUAUUCCGUUUUUGGAUCCAUACUGUAUGAGCUGUAAUACUCACUGCGAAGGUCUGCAGCUUCACUCCCGAAGCCAGCGAGGCCAUGAACCCACGGAGAGGAACGAAGAACUCCGGACUCGGCGCCUUGAGACCUGUGACACCACGAAGGUCUUCAGCUUCACUUCUGAGCCUGCGAGACCGCGAACCCACCAGAAGGAAGAAACUCCGAACACAUCCAACCAUCAGAAGGAACAAAUUCCGGACACGCCACCUUUAAGAACUGUAACACUCACCGCGAGGGUCUGUGGCUUCAUUCUUGAAGUCAGUGAGACCAAGAACCCACCAAUUCCGGACACAAAAAGACCCCAGAAGAGUCUACACAUCAAAUGUUAGUUAGCAGUUAUCCUCUCGGGAAGAGAUCUACCUGCACCCUGA